rnacentral:rRNA from 1 species
AGCAGCCGCGGUAAUUCCAGCUCCAAUAGCGUAUAUUAAAGUUGUUGCAGUUAAAAAGCUCGUAGUUGAAUUUCGGGGUUCUACCGUUGGUCGGGCUUUGUCUGUACUGAUGUGUAGAAUUUCUACCUUCUGGGGAACCAUCAUGUUAUUAAUUUAGCGUGGUGGGAAACCAGGACCUUUACCCUGAAAAAUUAGAGUGUUCAAAGCAGGCUUAUGUCUGAAUACAUUAGCAUGGAAUAAUAGAAUAGGACGGUGGUCCUGUUUUGUUGGUUUCUGAAUCACCGUAAUGAUUAAUAGGGAUAGUUGGGGGCAUUAGUAUUCAAUUGUCAGAGGUGAAAUUCUUGGAUUUAUUGAAGACUAACUUCUGCGAAAGCAAUUUGCCAAGGAUGUUUUCAUUAAUCAAAGAACGAAAGUUAGGGGAUCGAAGACGAUCAGAUACCGUCGUAGUCUUAACCAUAAACUAUGCCGACUAGGGAUCGGAUGAUGUUAAUUUUUUAAUGACUCAUUCGGCGCCUUACGG